rnacentral:rRNA from 1 species
AUUGAACGCUGGCGGCAUGCCUUACACAUGCAAGUCGAACGGCAGCACGGGAGCAAUCCUGGUGGCGAGUGGCGAACGGGUGAGUAAUACAUCGGAACGUGCCCAAUCGUGGGGGAUAACGCAGCGAAAGCUGUGCUAAUACCGCAUACGAUCUACGGAUGAAAGCAGGGGAUCGCAAGACCUUGCGCGAAUGGAGCGGCCGAUGGCAGAUUAGGUAGUUGGUGAGGUAAAGGCUCACCAAGCCGUCGAUCUGUAGCUGGUCUGAGAGGACGACCAGCCACACUGGGACUGAGACACGGCCCAGACUCCUACGGGAGGCAGCAGGGGGGAAUUUUGGACAAUGGGCGAAAGCCUGAUCCAGCCAUGCCGCGUGCAGGAUGAAGGCCUUCGGGUUGUAAACUGCUUUUGUACGGAACGAAACGGCCUUUUCUAAUAAAGAGGGCUAAUGACGGUACCGUAAGAAUAAGCACCGGCUAACUACGUGCCAGCAGCCGCGGUAAUACGUAGGGUGCAAGCGUUAAUCGGAAUUACUGGGCGUAAAGCGUGCGCAGGCGGUUAUGUAAGACAGUUGUGAAAUCCCCGGGCUCAACCUGGGAACUGCAUCUGUGACUGCAUAGCUAGAGUACGGUAGAGGGGGAUGGAAUUCCGCGUGUAGCAGUGAAAUGCGUAGAUAUGCGGAGGAACACCGAUGGCGAAGGCAAUCCCCUGGACCUGUACUGACGCUCAUGCACGAAAGCGUGGGGAGCAAACAGG